rnacentral:rRNA from 1 species
UACGUAGGGUGCGAGCGUUAAUCGGAAUUACUGGGCGUAAAGCGUGCGCAGGCGGUUUUGUAAGCCAGAUGUGAAAUCCCCGGGCUUAACCUGGGAAUGGCAUUUGGGACUGCAAGGCUCGAGUGCGGCAGAGGAGACUGGAAUUCCUGGUGUAGCAGUGAAAUGCGUAGAUAUCAGGAGGAACACCGAUGGCGAAGGCAGGUCUCUGGGCUGACACUGACGCUCAUGC